rnacentral:rRNA from 1 species
AGUGAACGCUGGCGGUAGGCCUAAUACAUGCAAGUCGAACGGCAACACAGUAAGAGCGUGCCCUUACGGGUGGCGAGUGGCGGACGGGUGAGGAAUACAUCGGAAUCUACUUUUUCGUGGGGGAUAACGGAGGGAAACUUACGCUAAUACCGCAUACGACCUACGGGUGAAAGCAGGGGAGCUUCGGACCUUGCGCGAUUGAAUGAGCCGAUGUCGGAUUAGCUAGUUGGCGGGGUAAAGGCCCACCAAGGCGACGAUACGUAGCUGGUCUGAGAGGAUGAUCAGCCACACUGGAACUGAGACACGGUCCAGACUCCUACGGGAGGCAGCAGUGGGGAAUAUUCGGCAAUGGGCGAAAGCCUGAUCCAGCCAUACCGCGUGGGUGAAGAAGGCCUUCGGGUUGUAAAGACCUUUUGUUGGGAAAGAACAGCAGCAGGUUAAUCCCCCGCUGUUCUGACGGUACCCAAAGAAUAAGCACCGGCUAACUUCGUG